rnacentral:lncRNA from 1 species
GUCCUAGUGCAUGAGGCUUCGGCUAUUGCAAGAUCUAGGGAGGGUUAGAUGUACGUAGCCUUACCACUACAUGUAGAGAGGCUACUUUUUUGUUUCAAGCUAUGACACUUGGGUAACAAUUAAGCAACCUUAUGUCAUGCCAAAGCCUGCCCUAUAUUAACUCGUUAGAUCAUUAAAAAAAAUUAUCAAAUAAAUACUAAAAAUAGUAUAAAUACUUAAAAAUUCAAAAAAUAUAAAAAUUUAAAAAUGAAAAAAAUGAAAAAUAUAGUAUAAUAAUUCUUCAUUAUACACAAUAUUUAUAUCAUAAAAAUGAGAGUUUUUCUGUAGUCGGACCAGCUUUCGGGUUAGUAUAGUAGCUCGGACUAGUAGCUACGGCAACAUGUCGCCGCCAUUGCCUAGUCCUUUCCUUUCCCGAAAAGAGAUUUUCACACUUCUUCCUACAACUUAUUCUACAACAAAUUAAUACGAAAGAUAUACAUAUUAGCACCUAACAAAAGCACCUUAUAAGUUUUUCAUUUUUUUUUUUUUUUGGGAGAAAGAGGCAAAGUACAAUUUACAAGUUAACAACUUGAGUAAAUAGAAUCCAUGACAUCUACUGAUUGAAAAAAAUAGCAUAUGAAUAGUAGGUCAAACUGGGCGGCCUAAUAGCAGGUCAAACUGGGUGGGCUAAUAGC